GGAUUGGAGCAGGAGAGGGCUCGACUGUCAUUCUUUUUUUGCGCACACUUUCUUUUAACUCGCGAACAGAUUUUCUUCUUUGUGGUAGCUUCAUUUUGGGAGCCAUUUGGACAAAAGAGACUUGCAAGGAGCUUGGAGACUAAAUGAGAGGUAGAGAGGAAAGGAUUUUAGAAGAAAAAGCAAGGAUUUUGGAGAGGUAAAUCACCGGUUUGGAGAAGAGGGGUAGAAUCUAGGGCAAGUUCGAAUUGCCCAAACGAGAAAGAAAGAGGAGAGGAAGCUGGUUCCUAAACGGACGAUUUGAAGGGUGAAAAUCGGUGGGAAGAGAGAUUUGAGAGAAAUCUUCGGUUUAAGGGAGAAGAGAGGGAGAGCUUUUGGUUCGGUGGGAGGAAGAAGAAGAAGGGCUGAGUCGGCUCAAAGAAAAUUUUUCAAUAAAAAGAGAGUGCUUGAAGGAUUUUGACAGAAUUACAAGUUUACUCUAGGAUCGACCCUGGGGGUCGACUUAUGGCACAGAAAAAUUCAUAAGAAUGAUGGAAAAAUUUGAAAAAAAUUGAAAUUUUGAGGAAAAAGUGUCUAUCUAGAGAUUGAUCAUGUGAAGUACAGUUUUGAGCUUUUAAGAGAAAAGAAGAGAUGAGAAUUGAGCUCAACAAAUUUGGUUCAAUGAAUUUUUGACAUUAAGAACUUGGAAUUAGAG
rnacentral:lncRNA from 1 species